GUCUUCGUGGUGUAACGGUCAGCGCUCGACACGUAACCGAAAGGUCCGUGGUUCGAUUCCCGGCGAAGGCG
rnacentral:tRNA from 1 species